GACGAACGCUGGCGGCGUGCUUAACACAUGCAAGUCGAACGGUGAAGGGACUGGUUUUGCUGGUCCUGGAUGAGUGGCGAACGGGUGAGUAACACGUGAGUAACCUGCCCCCUUCUUCUGGAUAACCGCAUGAAAGUGUGGCUAAUACGGGAUAUUCUGGGUCUGUCGCAUGGUGGGCCUGGGAAAGAUUGCGCCUUUUUUGGUGUUUUUGGUGGGGGAUGGGCUCGCGGCCUAUCAGCUUGUUGGUGGGGUGAUGGCCUACCAAGGCGGUGACGGGUAGCCGGCCUGAGAGGGUGGACGGUCACACUGGGACUGAGACACGGCCUAGACUCCUACGGGAGGCAGCAGUGGGGAAUAUUGCACAAUGGGCGCAAGCCUGAUGCAGCGACGCCGCGUGAGGGAUGGAGGCCGUCGGGUUGUGAACCUCUUUCGCCAGUGAAGCAGGCCUGCCUCUUUUUGUGGGUGGGUUGACGGUAGCUGGAUAAGAAGCGCCGGCUAACUACGUG
rnacentral:rRNA from 1 species